CCGUACUGGAUGGGGAGGUAGCGGUGCCCUGUACCUGCAACCCGCUAUAGCAGGAUCGAUCCCAACCGGAGGCAGGUGCUGAAAUAUUUUCCUUUGGGUACGAAGUGUUGACUUUUCAAACCAUCGCAAUCGGAUCGAUAGUAACCCCGUCAGGCCCGGAAGGGAGCAGCGGUACCUGUUGGAUUCGAUGUGCCGGUGGCCCCUUGGAAACGAGCUUACGACCGGAAGGAAACUGUUUCCCAGACCUGUCGAAGUGCGGUGUACGG
rnacentral:SRP_RNA from 1 species